rnacentral:rRNA from 1 species
UACAGAGGUCUCAAGCGUUGUUCGGAUUCAUUGGGCGUAAAGGGUGCGUAGGCGGCGCGGUAAGUCGGGUGUGAAAUCUCGGGGCUUAACUCCGAAACUGCAUUCGAUACUGCCGUGCUUGAGGACUGGAGAGGAGACUGGAAUUUACGGUGUAGCGGUGGAAUGCGUAGAGAUCCGGAAGAACACCGGUGGCGAAGGCGGCCUGCUGGGGCAGUUGCUGACACUGAGGCGCGACAGCGUGGGGAGCAAACAGGG